UGCCUGAUGUUCCAUAAAGAGGAAUUCAGACUGCUGGUUUUGUCACCAAACUCAUCCAUUGAUUUUCAUCUUGUUAAAUGGUGUAUUCAAGGUUACAGUUUGGAGUCCUUUAUGUCCUUACAACUCUGCACAUCUAACUAAUGGUAUCUGAAUACUGAACCAAACAACCUUUUCUACUAACAAAUCUGAAAUGCCAGCAUUGUGCCCUUUAUGAAUAUAUAGAGAGACUAGGAGGGCAGGAUCUUCAAAAGCCAUAAGAAGAGGACAGAGUGGAACUUAGAGACCAGGAGAAAUAAUAAUGCCAAGUCUGUACCACAUCCAGUGUCUGAAAUAUCAAAAGACAGCUAAACACUGGGCUAUGGAAAGUGAAUAUGCCAUGAUCAUUGAAAGCAUGAUUUACAGGGCACCUCUAAAAGGACCUGACAGCCUAAGUUAUGGGUCAUUGCCUCGCUGCAAAGCAAGAGAGAACAAAAGAACACAAUAUUUGUGGAAAUGCUUCUCGCAGACCAAGCACGUUGUGUUAGCUUGGAAGACAGGAGGUCAGAGGAGACUGGCACACCUCCACGGCUAGCAGGGCUGCACCU